ACGAAAGUCUGACGGAGCAACGCCGCGUGAGUGAAGACGGCCUUCGGGUUGUAAAGCUCUGUUAUACGGGACGAACGGGCGGGAUGCUAAUACCAUCCUGUUGUGACGGUACCGUAAGAGAAAGCCACGGCUAACUACGUGCCAGCAGCCGCGGUAAUACGUAGGUGGCAAGCGUUGUCCGGAAUUAUUGGGCGUAAAGGGUGCGCAGGCGGUCUCUUAAGUCUGUCUUAAAAGUGCGGGGCUCAACCCCGUGAGGGGACGGAAACUGGGAGACUGGAGUAUCGGAGAGGAAAGCAGAAUUCCUAGUGUAGCGGUGAAAUGCGUAGAUAUUAGGAGGAACACCAGUGGCGAAGGCGGCUUUCUGGACGACAACUGACGCUGAGGCACGAAAGCCAGGGGAGCGAACGGGAUUAGAUACCCCGGUAGUCCUGGCCGUAAACGAUGGGUACUAGGUGUAGGAGGUAUCGACCCCUUCUGUGCCGGAGUUAACGCAAUAAGUACCCCGCCUGGGGAGUACGGCCGCAAGGCUGAAACUCAAAGGAAUUGACGGGGGCCCGCACAAGCGGUGGAGUAUGUGGUUUAAUUCGACGCAACGCGAAGAACCUUACCAGGUCUUGACAUUGAUGGACAGAACCAGAGAUGGUUCCUCUUCUUCGGAAGCCAGAAAACAGGUGGUGCACGGUUGUCGUCAGCUCGUGUCGUGAGAUGUUGGGUUAAGUCCC
rnacentral:rRNA from 1 species